AUGGUGACUGUAUGUGCAUCAAUUGACUGCAAAUUCAGGCAUCAGUUGUGGGGGACGGCCAUGACGAGAUCGACUCGGGGUUCCUGGGAACAAGAUGGGGCACCAACGUGUGUGUGUUCACCGACGUGCUUGUCAGCACCCGAGGUGGGCUUGGAACGAACACACACGAACGAGAGACAUCAGUGUUUUAUUCUGCACACACUCCAGAGCUUUUCUGUUCUACAGUAUAUCUUUGCUAUUUAUUCAGAUUUACAGAACAGGAAACAGGGCUUCGUGGCACCUGACUUUCGCUGUCAUGAUUCACAGCAUUCGUGCCAUCCAACGAGCAGACCGACGAGGCACGAGACUCGCUCAAGCUGUUAG
rnacentral:rRNA from 1 species